GGAGAUCCUUAUGCCCAUUAAUCAAACAUGAGAUAAACGAAACUGAAACAAAAGAAAAUUUAGAGGAGAUAAGCGAAGCGACCUCCAAGAGAAUCCCGAAGAGUUCAAUCGGUCGAUGGUUCGCGUUGAUGGCUGUGACUCGGAUUGCAAGAGCUUCAGCCAUAAGCGGAGACCCAACGGCGUCCUGAAACUGAGAGCAGCGAGUGAUUUCUUUGGAGGCUAAACCAGCGGCUUUCCGGUCAGAUCUCCAAGCCGCAUCCGUAUAGCAUAUCACGAUGUUUGGGUCCAUCGGGGCGUUUUCCCACUCCUUACAAGCAAAGAUGGCUUUUCGAAGAAGUUCCUGAGGAGAAGAGGGCCGAUUAUCGAAGAGCAUCUGAUUCCUAGACAGGAGGCUCUAAUGGGGAUAUUCCGGCGAAGAAGGUUAUAUCCGGUGGGGAGAACGUUCCUAGCGCAUUUCCACAGAAAGAUUUUAAUCUUAGGGAGCAGUGGAGGUUUCCAGAUGUUCUUCUACCAGUUCCAAAUCUCGACAUCCAAGAGUGUGCUAGUCGAUUUGAUUUUAGCUACUUGGGAGGAGUGAUAUCCAGAUUUUUCUGAGGAGUGUUGCGUACAGAUGAAAUGCUAGGUUUGAUGGAGAGAAUAUGAGCAGUGAGGUCUGGGAGAGUGUUCUCAAGGAGAACCAUAUUCCAUUCCCUGGUUUCUCGUGAUAAGAGGUCAGACACUAGAAGGUCUUGGUCUUGGAGCUUGACAGGACCAAACGGCUUAAUAUCCGACCGGGGAUUAAUCCAGGAGUCGUUCCAGACCUUCGUUGAUUCUCCAUUACCAAUCACUUUACCAAGAUGAGUAAUGAGAAGGUCCCUACCCCAGAGGAUACCCUUCCAGCCUUCAACUGGGAGGAUUUAUGGCAAUAUUUCCCCAAUAGAACCCGAGAAAGGAGACAGCCUGGAUUGGUGAUCAAUCUCCACGCGAUUUUGGCCUGCAGAGCUUGGUUAAAUAACUGCACAUCACGGAAUCCCAAGCCCCCAAGUCUCUUUGGCAAUCAAAGGUUGGAGUGGCUGAUAGUAUAGAUUGGAGCAUUGUGGCUUUACCCGCCGUUUAGAGAAACCGUGAGUUCCAGCUGAUGGCCUUCUGCUUCAUCUUAUCAACAAUAGAUGCAAAUAAGUCUUUCUUCUUUCUGCCAAAAUGUUAUGGGAGUCCAAGGUGACGUUUUGGUAGAGAAAGAGAUAGAGGAUUUAUGAGUGUUGAUCAUCUGUCCUGAAGCCUCCCCGUAGUCCCAAAGCCUCCUCGUAUCCUGUUGAUCAUCUGUCAGGAACCGUAACAGUAGCCGUCAGUGCUGCUUCUUGUCGUUUAACUUUAUAUUCAUAACUAUUCGUUUAAAGAGAAGUGCAUGUGGCAUUUACUAUGGACAUGUAGAUGGCUAACACAAUUAUAACUUGCUAGCCAUUAUGUUAGGCAUCUAAUAUGGUUAUUUA